AUUGAACGCUGCGGCAUGCCUUACACAUGCAAGUCGAACGGCAGCACGGAGCUUGCUCUGGUGGCGAGUGGCGAACGGGUGAGUAAUAUAUCGGAACGUACCCUAGAGUGGGGGAUAACGUAGCGAAAGUUACGCUAAUACCGCAUACGAUCUAAGGAUGAAAGUGGGGGAUCGCAAGACCUCAUGCUCGUGGAGCGGCCGAUAUCUGAUUAGCUAGUUGGUAGGGUAAAAGCCUACCAAGGCAUCGAUCAGUAGCUGGUCUGAGAGGACGACCAGCCACACUGGAACUGAGACACGGUCCAGACUCCUACGGGAGGCAGCAGUGGGGAAUUUUGGACAAUGGGCGAAAGCCUGAUCCAGCAAUGCCGCGUGAGUGAAGAAGGCCUUCGGGUUGUAAAGCUCUUUUGUCAGGGAAGAAACGGUGAAAGCUAAUAUCUUUUGCUAAUGACGGUACCUGAAGAAUAAGCACCGGGCUAA
rnacentral:rRNA from 1 species